rnacentral:lncRNA from 1 species
ACAGGUAGAGAAUAUAUUUCACUCCUGAGUACCACACGUCGACUUCUGCAUUCAAACAGAAACAUAUCACCAAAGAUUUAAAAGGAAAAGAUGAAAGAGGAAACUGGAUCAGAAACACUGUGAGAAGAAUACAGAGGCGACAAUGCUACGCACUAUCAAAGGAAGCCAUCUGUCAUGUCAUGAGGGUACUCAAGCAGUCCUAUGGAGAGAAGAGACUCACACAGCAAGGAACUGAGGCCCCCUGCUAACAGCCAUGAACUGCCAGAUUGUCUUCCAAAGAGGCUGCACCAGCUUACAUUCCCACCAGCAGUGUAUGAUGGUUCCAACUUUUCCACAUCCUUGCCAAAACUUGUUAUUAUCUGCCUUUUGAAAUUUGCCACCCUAGUGAGCGUGAAGAGGUAUCUCAUUGUGGUUUUCACUUUUAUUUCUUUAAUGACUAAUGAUGUUGGGCAUCUUUCUGUGGCUAUUAGUCACUCCUAUACUUUCUUUGGGCACAUGACUAUUCAAAUCUUUUGCCCAUUUUUAAAAUUGGUUCAUUUAUCAUUUAUUAUUGAGUUGUUUAUUAUUUUAAGCUGAUAUUUUUUCAUGUAAUUUGAUAUAGGGUAACAGAUAACUAACACAAGCAGUACUUUUACAUUUCUUGGAGGAAAAUGAGAUGAUGGUACUUUUUAAUUGAUCAGAAGGAGAAUUUGCUAAUGUUUUCUUGGAGAUAUAAAAUGGUAUUUUUACUAUAGUGAUUGAUAGCUAUAGAUAGAGCAUAUAGUUGAAGUACAUAAAAUAAAUUUAAUCAGAGUAAGAAAUGAAACAUAAUUCAAAUUUGUGCACUCACUUAUUAUAAAAAUUAAUGAAAGAGCCAAAUAAAUUUCUUGAGUAUCAUUAUUAAUCAAAACAAUUUUCCUUAACAAUACAGAAAAGAAGUGAAAAUGUCUGACAAAUUUCUUUUAAAUUCUCUACUUCUAGACAUUCCUUUGCAUAUAUAAAAUAAAGGACACUUAGCACAAAACAGAAAUGCAUUUCAUCAUCUUUUUAAAAACGUGAAACAAAACCAUAUUUUUAUUAAAAAGUUAUAAUUCAAAAGAAGACAAUUUUGAAUUGCACAAAUUAUUUGGUGACUGGGCAUACAUUGUGUUCAGUGGGAACCAGAUUAUAUUAAGCAUUUUGUAAACAUUUAUUGAAAUUAUACAGAAAAUUUAGUAUAAUUUUUACAAAGUUAUUACUAUAGUUUUUUUUAACCUUUGGCUAUUUAAUUGACUUAGUCCCUACAAUGGGAUAUAAAUAUAAAUUACAAAAAAGAUAGGUGGCCUGAAAGAGGAAUGUGAAGUAAGUAAAUAUGUUUUAAAGCAACAGUAGAAAAUAUUUAUGCAGUUCAGUGGAAUGUUUCACUUCUCUUUCUCAACUAUAGAAGAAAUAUCCUAAAAUCCUGCUAUCAUAGCAAAGAGAUUUUAAACUAUCCCAACUAUAUUUUCUCCAACUAUCUUACUUUUAAUGUAAUUUAGUUCUGCUUUUCUACACCCAUGAUAAAAAAAAAAUUCAUUCUAUUUACUUGGAUGCUAUCAUUGUUACAUAGUACUUGUAUUCUUUUAUCUCCAAAUGUCUGUUAUAAAUAUUAGAUUAAAA